UUGGAGUCCUUGAGACUUUAGUGGCGCAGCUAACGCACUAAGUUGACCGCCUGGGGAGUACGGCCGCAAGGUUAAAACUCAAAUGAAUUGACGGGGGCCCGCACAAGCGGUGGAGCAUGUGGUUUAAUUCGAUGCAACGCGAAGAACCUUACCUGGUCUUGACAUAUCUAGAAUCCUGCAGAGAUGCGGGAGUGCCUUCGGGAAUUAGAAUACAGGUGCUGCAUGGCUGUCGUCAGCUCGUGUCGUGAGAUGUUGGGUUAAGUCCCGCAACGAGCGCAACCCUUGUCCUUAGUUACCAGCGGUUUGGCCGGGAACUCUAAGGAUACUGCCAGUGACAAACUGGAGGAAGGCGGGGACGACGUCAAGUCAUCAUGGCCCUUACGACCAGGGCUACACACGUGCUACAAUGGUAGGUACAGAGGGCAGCUACACAGCGAUGUGAUGCGAAUCUCAAAAAGCCUAUCGUAGUCCANAUUGGAGUCUGCAACUCGACUCCAUGAAGUAGGAAUCGCUAGUAAUCGCGGAUCAGAAUGCCGCGGUGAAUACGUUCCCGGGC
rnacentral:rRNA from 1 species